AUAGCGUAUAUUAAAGUUGUUGCAGUUAAAAAGCUCGUAGUUGAAUUUCGGGGUUAGUAGGUUGGUCAUGCCUCUGGUAUGUACUGGUCUCACUGAUUCCUCCUUCCUGAUGAGCCGUAAUGCCAUUAAUUUGGUGUUGCGGGGAAUUUGGACUGUUACUUUGAAAAAAUUAGAGUGUUUAAAGCAAGCUAACGCUUGAAUACAUUAGCAUGGAAUAAUGAAAUAGGACGUUCGAUCCUAUUUUGUUGGUUUCUAGGAUUGACGUAAUGAUUAAUAGGGAUAGUUGGGGGCAUUAGUAUUCAAUUGUCAGAGGUGAAAUUCUUGGAUUUAUUGAAGACUAACUACUG
rnacentral:rRNA from 1 species